rnacentral:misc_RNA from 1 species
AUUGGAAACCUUGCCUACUUGGAAGAUCUGGAGUUCUACUCUUGCAAUUUCACCGGGCAGCUCCCUUCCUCCCUCGGUAACCUUACCAAGCUCACCAGUCUCGAUCCCUCAGAUAAUAAUUUUGGGGCUCCAACUCCUUCUUCCUUGUCUUGGAUCGGUAAACUGUCAGAUCUCAAUUACCUCGCUCUCUUUCACGUUGAAUUAAGUGGUUUCUUCCCAUCUUGGCUUAAGAACCUAACUCGACUUUCAUAUCUAGAAUUGAGCUAUAAUCAACUUGCUGGUCCAAUCCCUUCUUGGCUUAUGAACCUAACCAUGCUUGUUAAUUUAUAUUUAGACAGUAAUCAUUUCAAUGGUCAAAUCCCAUCAUGCCUCAUUUACGGAUCAAGUAUUGAAUACUUAAUUUUGAGUUUUAAUCAAUUAUCAGGUCAAAUCCCAUCUCAAACUGACGCUCAUUCUAAAGUAGUCAAGUUAGAACUUUCAUCAAACAAAU